GAGAAUGCCGGUGUGAGUAGCGAAAGACGGGUGAGAAUCCCGUCCACCGAUUGACUAAGGUUUCCAGAGGAAGGCUCGUCCGCUCUGGGUUAGUCGGGUCCUAAGCUGAGGCCGACAGGCGUAGGCGAUGGAUAACAGGUUGAUAUUCCUGUACCACCUAUAAUCGUUUUAAUCGAUGGGGGGACGCAGUAGGAUAGGCGAAGCGUGCGAUUGGAUUGCACGUCUAAGCAGUAAGGCUGAGUAUUAGGCAAAUCCGGUACUCGUUAAGGCUGAGCUGUGAUGGGGAGAAGACAUUGUGUCUUCGAGUCGUUGAUUUCACACUGCCGAGAAAAGCCUCUAGAUAGAAAAUAGGUGCCCGUACCGCAAACCGACACAGGUAGUCAAGAUGAGAAUUCUAAGGUGAGCGAGCGAACUCUCGUUAAGGAACUCGGCAAAAUGACCCCGUAACUUCGGGAGAAGGGGUGCUCUUUAGGGUUAACGCCCAGAAGAGCCGCAGUGAAUAGGCCCAAGCGACUGUUUAUCAAAAACACAGGUCUCUGCUAAACCGUAAGGUGAUGUAUAGGGGCUGACGCCUGCCCGGUGCUGGAAGGUUAAGAGGAGUGGUUAGCUUCUGCGAAGCUACGAAUCGAAGCCCCAGUAAACGGCGGCCGUAACUAUAACGGUCCUAAGGUAGCGAAAUUCCUUGUCGGGUAAGUUCCGACCCGCACGAAAGGCGUAACGAUUUGGGCACUGUCUCAACGAGAGACUCGGUGAAAUCAUAGUACCUGUGAAGAUGCAGGUUACCCGCGACAGGACGGAAAGACCCCGUGGAGCUUUACUGUAGCCUGAUAUUGAAAUUCGGCACAGCUUGUACAGGAUAGGUAGGAGCCUUUGAAACGUGAGCGCUAGCUUACGUGGAGGCGCUGGUGGGAUACUACCCUAGCUGUGUUGGCUUUCUAACCCGCACCACUUAUCGUGGUGGGAGACAGUGUCAGGCGGGCAGUUUGACUGGGGCGGUCGCCUCCUAAAAGGUAACGGAGGCGCUCAAAGGUUCCCUCAGAAUGGUUGGAAAUCAUU
rnacentral:rRNA from 1 species